AGUCACCUGGGGUAUUGGCCAGCUGAAAAUGUUCUUGAGCCGAUAUUCAAUACCCCGGAGGCGCUGGCAAGAUGUGGUUGUGCAUGUCCGCUCGACGGAAAGCCUGAAAGCAUCGCUGGCGCCACCACCUGGACCUGUGGGUUCAGGACUAUUUCGGCAGCGGUACCUUGGGUGGCUU
rfam:Pseudohongiella spirulinae strain KCTC 32221, complete genome.